CCAGAUAUUUCUUAUUUUGUCUAACCAGAGGUCUUCUGCUGUAUUGGUAGUCAUUAGAAAUGAAAAGCACCUGCUUCUAAUUUUGAUUUUCCUGGUCGUUACUUCAAGUGCCACCACCAUGUGAAAAUUGAAAUCAAGACAUACCAAUUCAUUAGUGCCUAUAGAGACUCUAAAGAAAGGAUUUAUGCAUGUGCUCAUUACUGCCAUGGCAGAAAAUAAUGUUGAUAACUUAAAUGCUGGGGAAAUCAGUUAUAUAUACACUGGUGAUUUCCACUAUUUUUGUUUCCUGAUAGCUGUUUAUAUUCCAUUUUUAUGCUCUACUGUAUUGAAAAAAGAGCAAAGCCAUCAUUCUUCUUUUCAAGAUUGAGAGAACUGAUUUUAAAAGGGGUUACUGCUAAAGUAUAAAUAAAUGGUUGAUUAUCAUGCUUCUGUUCUUUAAGUUUUUGAAGAUAUAGAUUGAUUAUACUUCAUAUGUAUUCUGCAAAUUUGUAUCCUAUCAAGAGUAGGCUGAAAUCUACUACAUGCCUUGGAAUCGGAAAUUGAGUUUAAUUCAAUGUCAUUGUGUCCUGUGCGGUGUGUCCUGUGUGGUGCUGUCUUAAACUCUUCAGAUAGUUGUUAUUCGGACAUUUACCGAUCAGACAGUUUCUUGUCAUUAGACAUUUACUGCGAAUGCAAAAUUUUGUGCUAGCUUAACGUUAGAUUUGGACAAGUGAUUAUAAUCCUCCAUAAAAAAAAUUCAUGGAGAGAAAAAGACCAUGAUAUCAUUUUCGUGUUGCCAUGAACCUUUUUUUUUGUUUUUUGGUCUGGCGGACAGUUUUUUUUGGUUUAUUAUCAAUCACAAGGAGAGUACUGUGCAGAACAUAGUAGUUGAUAGUUACACUAAACCAUGUGCUCCCUUUAGGACAGAUGUAUAAUUUCAACCUGGUUUGUCAUAUACCAGCAUUCAGUCAUUCCACAAUUUCACUGAAAUGGGACCCGUUGUCUUCUUGCUCACUAUAAUGCGAAGUUCAUUGGCAAGACCUGAGGAAACCAUAGGAAUCUGUUUCAGUUGUGGUAUAAUUACAAACUAGGCGUAGAAGGCCAUGUAAGAGGUUUGCAACUGGUAAUUCAAGAGUGAAUCUAUUAGAAGUGGAUGGGCCUUCUCAGAACUCAAACUACGGAUUUUAAUUUAAUUUUAGAUAGAAGUUGCUUUCACUGAAGCUUUGAUUCUCAUUGUUUUGCUAAGAUAGUGGCAUUCAAGACGGCUAUAUGAAAGUCCUAUGCAAGAACUGGGUUUUGUUCACUGUUAUUCUCCCUUGUUUAUUGCCUGGCUGAACUCCAAAUUCUGCUGUAAAAUGUAAACAACCUGUUUGAUUUUGGAUAAGUUAUAGAUAUAGUAGAUCUACAUUAAAGGCUCUGUUUUAA